CAUUUAUGGAGAGUUUGAUCCUGGCUCAGAGUGAACGCUGGCGGCGUGCCUAACACAUGCAAGUCGAACGAGAACGGCUCAUAGAUACCUUCGGGUUGAAAUGAGUGUCAGCUAAGUGGCGCACGGGUGAGUAAUGUAUAGGUAACAUGCCCCUUGGAGGGGGAUAACAGUUGGAAACGACUGCUAAUACCCCAUACUCCUUUUUGACAUAAGUUGAGAAGGGAAAUGGUUUAUUCCGCCAAGGGAUUGGCCUGUAUCGUAUCAGCUAGUUGGUGGGGUAAUGGCCUACCAAGGCUAUGACGCGUAGCUGGUCUG
rnacentral:rRNA from 1 species